AUUGAACGCUGGCGGCAGGCCUAACACAUGCAAGUCGAACGGUGGCAGGAAGAAGCUUGCUUCUUUGCUGACGAGUGGCGGACGGGUGAGUAAUGUCUGGGAAACUGCCCGAUGGAGGGGGAUAACUACUGGAAACGGUAGCUAAUACCGCAUAACGUCUUCGGACUAAAGAGGGGGACCGUUCGGGCCGUCUUGCCAUCGGAUGUGCCCAGAUGGGAUUAGCUAGUAGGUGGGGUAACGGG
rnacentral:rRNA from 1 species